AAUGCUCGGAGAUUAGGAGGGUGAGAAGCCUCGUCCAGGGUUCGACUAAAACGUCGGGAACGUUUUAGAACGCCUUUAGGCGGCCCGAAGGGUGGAGGGCAGGAGCCCGACAUAAUCCCUCUCUCUCCGCCA
rnacentral:sRNA from 1 species